AUUGAACGCUGGCGGCAUGCCUUACACAUGCAAGUCGAACGGCAGCACGGGUGCUUGCACCUGGUGGCGAGUGGCGAACGGGUGAGUAAUACAUCGGAACGUACCUUAUCGUGGGGGAUAACGCAGCGAAAGUUGCGCUAAUACCGCAUACGCCCUGAGGGGGAAAGCGGGGGACCGUAAGGCCUCGCGCGAUUAGAGCGGCCGACGUCUGAUUAGCUUGUUGGUGAGGUAAAAGCUCACCAAGGCGAUGAUCAGUAGCUGGUCUGAGAGGACGAUCAGCCACACUGGGACUGAGACACGGCCCAGACUCCUACGGGAGGCAGCAGUGGGGAAUUUUGGACAAUGGGGGCAACCCUGAUCCAGCAAUGCCGCGUGAGUGAAGAAGGCCUUCGGGUUGUAAAGCUCUUUUGUCAGGGAAGAAACAGCAGCUCUAACACAGUCUGCGAAUGACGGUACCUGAAGAAUAAGCACCGGCUAACUACGUGCCAGCAGCCGCAGUAA
rnacentral:rRNA from 1 species